UUACGGCCAUAUCGCAAUCAAACACCGGUUCCCGUAUGAUCACCAAAGUUCAGCAACGUUGAGUCUGGUCAGUACUUUGAUGGGUGAACGCUGAGGAAUACCAGAUGCUGUAAG